rnacentral:rRNA from 1 species
AGAGUUUGAUCAUGGCUCAGGACGAACGCUGGCGGCACGCUUAACACAUGCAAGUCGAACGAGAGAAGAGGAGCUUGCUUUUCUGAUCUAGUGGCGGACGGGUGAGUAACACGUGAGCAAUCUGCCUUUCAGAGGGGGAUACCGAUUGGAAACGAUCGUUAAUACCGCAUAACAUAAUUGAACCGCAUGAUUUGAUUAUCAAAGAUUUAUCGCUGAAAGAUGAGCUCGCGUCUGAUUAGCUAGUUGGUAAGGUAACGGCUUACCAAGGCGACGAUCAGUAGCCGGACUGAGAGGUUGAUCGGCCACAUUGGGACUGAGACACGGCCCAGACUCCUACGGGAGGCAGCAGUGGGGAAUAUUGCACAAUGGAGGAAACUCUGAUGCAGCGAUGCCGCGUGAGGGAAGAAGGUUUUAGGAUUGUAAACCUCUGUCUUCAGGGACGAAAAAAGACGGUACCUGAGGAGGAAGCUCCGGCUAACUACGUGCCAGCAGCCGCGGUAAUACGUAGGGAGCGAGCGUUGUCCGGAAUUACUGGGUGUAAAGGGAGCGUAGGCGGGAUCGCAAGUCAGAUGUGAAAACUAUGGGCUUAACCCAUAAACUGCAUUUGAAACUGUGGUUCUUGAGUGAAGUAGAGGUAAGCGGAAUUCCUAGUGUAGCGGUGAAAUGCGUAGAUAUUAGGAGGAACAUCAGUGGCGAAGGCGGCUCACUGGGCUUUAACUGACGCUGAGGCUCGAAAGCGUGGGGAGCAAACAGGAUUAGAUACCCUGGUAGUCCACGCCGUAAACGAUGAUUACUAGGUGUGGGGGGACUGACCCCUUCCGUGCCGCAGCAAACGCAAUAAGUAAUCCACCUGGGGAGUACGACCGCAAGGUUGAAACUCAAAGGAAUUGACGGGGGCCCGCACAAGCAGUGGAGUAUGUGGAUUAAUUCGAAGCAACGCGAAGAACCUUACCAGGUCUUGACAUCGUAUGCAUAGCUCAGAGAUGAGUGAAAUCUCUUCGGAGACAUAUAGACAGGUGGUGCAUGGUUGUCGUCAGCUCGUGUCGUGAGAUGUUGGGUUAAGUCCCGCAACGAGCGCAACCCUUACUGUUAGUUGCUACGCAAGAGCACUCUAGCAGGACUGCCGUUGACAAAACGGAGGAAGGUGGGGAUGACGUCAAAUCAUCAUGCCCCUUAUGACCUGGGCCUCACACGUACUACAAUGGCUGUCAACAGAGGGAAGCAAAGCCGCGAGGUGGAGCGAACCCCUAAAAGCAGUCUUAGUUCGGAUUGUAGGCUGCAACCCGCCUACAUGAAGUCGGAAUUGCUAGUAAUCGCAGAUCAGCAUGCUGCGGUGAAUACGUUCCCGGGCCUUGUACACACCGCCCGUCACGCCAUGGGAGUCGGUAACACCCGAAGCCUGUAGUCUAACCGCAAGGAGGACGCAGUCGAAGGUGGGAUUGAUGACUGGGGUGAAGUCGUAACAAGGUA